AAAUCUGGCACCUUCGGUGUCCGAGUUGUAAUUUGAAGAUUGUAACCUUGGGGUUGGCUCUUGUCUAUGUUUCUUGGAACAGGACGUCACAGAGGGUGAGAAUCCCGUGCGAUGAGAUGCCCAAUCCUAUGUAAGGUGCUUUCGAAGAGUCGAGUUGUUUGGGAAUGCAGCUCUAAGUGGGUGGUAAAUUCCAUCUAAAGCUAAAUAUUGGCGAGAGACCGAUAGCGAACAAGUACAGUGAUGGAAAGAUGAAAAGAACUUUGAAAAGAGAGUGAAAAAGUACGUGAAAUUGUUGAAAGGGAAGGGUUUGAGAUCAGACUCGAUAUUUUGUGAGCCUUGCCUUCGUGGCGGGGUGACCCGCAGCUUAUCGGGCCAGCAUCGGUUUGGGCGGUAGGAUAAUGGCGUAGGAAUGUGACUUUGCUUCGGUGAAGUGUUAUAGCCUGCGUUGAUGCUGCCUGCCUAGACCGAGGACUGCGAUUUUAUCAAGGAUGCUGGCAUAAUGAUCCCAAACCGCC
rnacentral:rRNA from 1 species